AGAACCUUCGAGAACAAAGGGAGAUUUUGAUUCCACUGUCUGGAUGGGGGCUCUUCGUGGGCACCCUCGACAGUGCUUUCUGGAGGCUUUUACACAUUUUUUAUUUUAUAAGGGUUUUUUGGGUUUUUUUCUUGUUUAUUUUAAAAAGGUUUCUUUGUGGUAAAAUAUACAUAGAAGUUACCAUCUCAACCAUUGUUAAGUGUCCAGUUUGGUGACUAAGUACACCUAUCCUGUCACGCAACCAUCACCACCAUCCAUCCCCAGAAUGUUUCUGUCAGCCCAGC